AUACCUUAUGCUUGGAAAGCACAGGGA
rnacentral:piRNA from 1 species